UACGGAGGGUGCAAGCGUUUAUCCGGAUUCACUGGGUUUAAAGGGUGCGUAGGCGGGCAGGUAAGUCCGUGGUGAAAUCUCUGAGCUUAACUCAGAAACUGCCAUGGAUACUAUUUGUCUUGAAUAUUGUGGAGGUAAGCGGAAUAUGUCAUGUAGCGGUGAAAUGCUUAGAUAUGACAUAGAACACCAAUUGCGAAGGCAGCUUGACUACACAAAUAUUGACACUGAGGCACGAAAGCGUGGGGAUCAAACAGG
rnacentral:rRNA from 1 species